AGAAUUGUGUAUGGACAU
rnacentral:miRNA from 1 species